AACCCUAACUCAACUCAGUCACUCUCUGUCUCUCUCCGUCUCGACUAUGUCGACUCUCGACCUCACCUCACAGUCACAGACAACCUCAGUGCAUCACGGUCCUCACCACCCUCCUCGACCUCACCUCAAACAACCUCUCCGUCUCUGAUCUCUCUCUCUCGACUUCUCAUCCCUCAGACCCUCACUGUUCCUUCACGGCACAGAGACAGAGCCACGGCCACCGGCGCCGCUCACAUCUCUGAUCUCUCUCGACUUUUUCAUCCAGAUUCCAGUGCAUUGUGCACCGAUUCUCCCCCAAAUCAGGUUGCAACUUGCAACAGUUGCUUUGAUAUUUGAAGUACAAAGAAGUGCUAGGUCAGAAGCAAGAAAGGAGGAAGCACGCAAGCAAGAACUGGAGGUAUUGUGGCAAUACAGUCAAUGUAUUAAUUUGCAUUUAUAUGCCAACCUUGACAUGCUAUUAUUUCAUUGACCUCGUGAUAAUAUAGAAUUUUUAUUCAGUUACAUUUUUACCCUCAUUUGAACAAAUGACCUCCAAUCCUUUUCAAAUUGAAAAUGCUAAUAGAGUUGAAAGAAAAUGGUAACUCUUUAUUCUGGUAUUGAACUAUCUGAGCAAACUGCCAUCUUAAGUUUCAUUAGUGUGGUGAAAGAAAACAUCCCAAAAAUAUUUUGGGAAUCCCGAUUUGUCCCGAAAUCCCGAAACUAUUUCGGGAUUUCCGAAAUUGGGAUUCCCGAAAACUUCGGUUUGGGAAUUGGGACAAGGGUUUCGGUUCGGUAUCCCAUACUGAACCAGCCCUAGUGCUGCCAUGCUUACUUUUGAAUCUCUUGCCGAGACAUCUGAAUUUGCAAGAAAGUGGGUACCAUUCUGCAAGAAAUUUUUUAUUGAACCACGUGCACUAAGUUUUACUUCUCACAAAACAUUGACUACUUGAAGGACAAAGCGCAACAAUCUUUUGUGAAGGAGCGCGGAUUGAUGAAAGUAAGUACCUAAUGGCCGAAGCUUCUUCUAGUUAUAUAUACUAAAACCCAGUUUUUGGAUUACUAUUUAUCUAUAGUGUCCAGACUGAUUUGUCCUUGCAACUCUCAUUUGUUUCCGUCUAUCUUGCUUGGUUGGUGCAGUGAAGAGACAUUUUUACCCCUGUUUUCCAUGCGUCCCCAUCGUUAUUCCGUCGACUUUGACAGUCUUCUUAGCUCCUUAGGGUUUUCUUCCUUUGUUGUCUUUCUUGAUUUGGGUUUUGCUAUUUUUGUUUUGCUCCUUACUUCUAAUCCUGUGUUUCUCUUUGGUGAUCGUUGUUUCUUUUGCACAAAGACUGCGUGGUUUUGUUUAAGGGAUUUGAUUUUCUCUACGAUUUGUCAUUGAGGGUCAUUGUGCAUCUGUUUAAACCUAAGGUUUUUUGUGGAAACUGAUCAAUUGGUUUCCGGGCCUUCCAAAGUUGUGGUCGGGGGAAUACAAUCCGUGUUCGUCUUUUUUUUUUUUUGGUCUGGGAUUUCCUGUUUCUGUUCGGAAUUUUGGCUGAUUUUUAGCCUAGUUUGCGGGCGGCAUGUUUCCAGACAGCUGCGCAAGGGCUUUUACUCAGGCAAGUGUUGUUGUGGAUUUGGGGGCUAAAAGCGGAUUCUUUUUUUGCUGUCCUCCGUUAACAGUUCUGAAAUUUCCCAGGAACUACAAUUGUUGUUUUGGGUAUGGUUUCCUGCCUCUGCUUCUUGAUGAUUCUGUUUGUGUUUCUUAUUUGGUUCACUGGAAUUUGUGGUUUUGUUUCUUGAAUUUAAUUUUGUGUGGAUUCAUUUUGGUGGAUAUCUCAAAACUUGAGAGGGGAGUUGUGCUUUUAUUCAUUAUUUCUUUGCUUUGUGUGAUUUCAUUUGGAAGGAUGCUUAAGUGUUUUUUUUUUUUUUUUUUUUUUUUUCUUUUCUUGACUUGAAUUUCUUGGUUUUCUCUCUCAAUCUCAAAAGUUUUUCGGGCUAAGCAGAAAAAUCAAUUGAGGUCUACAAAAACAGAGUGAAAAACUUGAAUGUGCUUGUUGUGCGUAGGCAAAAUCCAUCUAAGCUGUUAUGCAAUUCCCUGACAUUUUAGGAUGGAAUAUUUAAGGGAGUGCGUUUUGCCGGUCAUUGUGUCUUGCUCGCACAGUGUUAUGCACAGUGGAUUACAAUUCGUGAUAAGAGGCUGCUUCUCUCUCUCUCUCUCUCUGUAUAUAUAUCUGUGUGUGUAUGUGUGUGCAAUGUUAUAUGAAAAGCUUUAUAUAUAAUUCGUGAUAAGGGAGGUUGUGGUAUGCUAACAUGGCGCUAAUGAAAACAGAAACCAUGAUGUCCAUGAACUGGACGAAGAAUGUGCGCCGCAAGUAUAGACUUUGUUUUUUCCUUGUGUGUGUUUGCAGCGUGCCUGCAACAGGCAUGUGGCUGGAUUUGUGGAUAGUUAGAAAAUAACAAGGUCGAGUCAUGUGCAUUGUUGAUUGUUGGUUUUAAAUGGAUUAGGAAUUUUUGGGGAAAAAAAUGCGAGGGUUGGUUCCAGUUUUGGAUUGGUAUUUUUGUUGUGGUUUCGAAUGAUUUUGUAUUCAUUGUCGCCAACUUUUGCUGAAAAAAGGUUUGUUGUUUACUUCUCUA